GUGCUUGCUUCAGCAGCACAUAUACUAAAAUUGGAAUGAUAUAGAGAUUAGCAUGGUCCCUGUGCAAGGAUAACAUGAAAAUUUGUGAAUAUUCACAUUUUAAA
ensembl:snRNA U6 U6 spliceosomal RNA